rnacentral:rRNA from 1 species
AUUGAACGCUGGCGGCGUGCCUAACACAUGCAAGUCGAGCGGUAACGCGGGGGCAACCCUGGCGACGAGCGGCGGACGGGUGAGUAACGCUUGGGAAUCUGCCUGUUAGUGGGGGACAACCCGGGGAAACUCGGGCUAAUACCGCAUACGCACUACGGUGGAAAGCCGGGGACCGCAAGGCCUGGCGCUAACAGAUGAGCCCAAGUCGGAUUAGCUAGUUGGUAGGGUAACGGCCUACCAAGGCGACGAUCCGUAACUGGUCUGAGAGGACGACCAGUCACACCGGAACUGAGACACGGUCCGGACUCCUACGGGAGGCAGCAGUGGGGAAUAUUGGACAAUGGGCGAAAGCCUGAUCCAGCGACGCCGCGUGGGUGAAGAAGGCCUGCGGGUUGUAAAGCCCUUUCGGUGGGGAAGAAAAGCCUCGACUUAAUACGUCGGGGUCUUGACGUAACCCAUAGAAGAAGCACCGGCUAACUCUGUGC